CGGACGGGUGAGUAACACGUGAGCAACCUGCCUUUCAGAGGGGGAUAACGUUUGGAAACGAACGCUAAUACCGCAUAAAAUAUCGGAGUCGCAUGGCACUGAUAUCAAAGGAGCAAUCCGCUGAAAGAUGGGCUCGCGUCCGAUUAGGCAGUUGGCGGGGUAACGGCCCACCAAACCGACAAUCGGUAGCCGGACUGAGAGGUUGAACGGCCACAUUGGGGACUGAGACACGGCCCAGACUCCUACGGGAGGCAGCAG
rnacentral:rRNA from 1 species